GUGCCAGCCGCCGCGGUAAUACCGGCAGCCCGAGUGAUGGCCGAUCUUAUUGGGCCUAAAGCGUCCGUAGCUGGCCGCGCAAGUCCAUCGGGAAAUCCACCUGCUCAACAGGUGGGCGCCCGGUGGAAACUGUGCGGCUUGGGACCGGAAGGCGCGACGGGUACGUCCGGGGUAGGAGUGAAAUCCUGUAAUCCCGUCCGGACCACCGAUGACGAAAGCACUUCGAGAAAACGGAUCCGACAGUGAGGGACGAAAGCUAGGAUCGCGAACCGGAUUAGAUACCCCUGUCGUCC
rnacentral:rRNA from 1 species